GAUGAACGCUGGCGGCGUGCCUAAUACAUGCAAGUCGAGCGAACGGACGAGAAGCUUGCUUCUCUGAUGUUAGCGGCGGACGGGUGAGUAACACGUGGAUAACCUACCUAUAAGACUGGGAUAACUUCGGGAAACCGGAGCUAAUACCGGAUAAUAUUUUGAACCGCAUGGUUCAAAAGUGAAAGACGGUCUUGCUGUCACUUAUAGAUGGAUCCGCGCUGCAUUAGCUAGUUGGUAAGGUAACGGCUUACCAAGGCAACGAUGCAUAGCCGACCUGAGAGGGUGAUCGGCCACACUGGAACUGAGACACGGUUCAGACUCCUACGGGAGGCAGCAGUAGGGAAUCUUCCGCAAUGGGCGAAAGCCUGACGGAGCAACGCCGCGUGAGUGAUGAAGGUCUUCGGAUCGUAAAACUCUGUUAUUAGGGAAGAACAUAUGUGUAAGUAACUGUGCACAUCUUGACGGUACCUAAUCAGAAAGCCACGGCUAACUACGUGCCAGCAGCCGCGGUAAUACGUAGGUGGCAAGCGUUAUCCGGAAUUAUUGGGCGUAAAGCGCGCGUAGGCGGUUUUUUAAGUCUGAUGUGAAAGCCCACGGCUCAACCGUGGAGGGUCAUUGGAAACUGGAAAACUUGAGUGUAGAAGAGGAAAGUGGAAUUCCAUGUGUAGCGGUGAAAUGCGCAGAGAUAUGGAGGAACACCAGUGGCGAAGGCGACUUUCUGGUCUGUAACUGACGCUGAUGUGCGAAAGCGUGGGGAUCAAACAGGAUUAGAUACCCUGGUAGUCCACGCCGUAAACGAUGAGUGCUAAGUGUUAGGGGGUUUCCGCCCCUUAGUGCUGCAGCUAACGCAUUAAGCACUCCGCCUGGGGAGUACGACCGCAAGGUUGAAACUCAAAGGAAUUGACGGGGACCCGCACAAGCGGUGGAGCAUGUGGUUUAAUUCGAAGCAACGCGAAGAACCUUACCAAAUCUUGACAUCCUUUGACAACUCUAGAGAUAGAGCUUUCCCCUUCGGGGGACAAAGUGACAGGUGGUGCAUGGUUGUCGUCAGCUCGUGUCGUGAGAUGUUGGGUUAAGUCCCGCAACGAGCGCAACCCUUAAGCUUAGUUGCCAUCAUUAAGUUGGGCACUCUAAGUUGACUGCCGGUGACAAACCGGAGGAAGGUGGGGAUGACGUCAAAUCAUCAUGCCCCUUAUGAUUUGGGCUACACACGUGCUACAAUGGACAAUACAAAGGGCAGCGAAACCGCGAGGUCAAGCAAAUCCCAUAAAGUUGUUCUCAGUUCGGAUUGUAGUCUGCAACUCGACUACAUGAAGCUGGAAUCGCUAGUAAUCGUAGAUCAGCAUGCUACGGUGAAUACGUUCCCGGGUCU
rnacentral:rRNA from 1 species